AUAGUAUGCCUCGCCGUGCAUGAGGUCGAGGAAGGAGUCCGCGUGGCACACCAUCUUGUCCGGGAACUCGAACAUGAUCACGCCAGCGAUGUGUUUUCCCGUCAAAGUCCUCGCCAUUCCUCCCAAAAGAUGAGCAAUUCUCUCCGCUCUCGCGCAUAUUUUCUUCUUCAUUGGUGGUGUGCGACUAUGUGGUGCUUUUAAUUCAGUGUCAAUGGUGUCGCACGAGUUGAGCUGACAUUCCAGUUCGAUGAUUCUCGCAGCUCGACUCACUAUUGUCGGUAGUUUUGCAACCAUUUUUCGCCUGAGAGGAGUAGGGAGUCUUUGAGAGUAGAGUAUUCUGUGUUAAGACUCCUGCGAUGCAUCCGCCAAUUGUUGUACUUUCGGGCUGAACAAGCAUGCAAUCAAAGGAGGUGAAAAUAGUGAUGUGUGAAAUUCUUCUGCUUCACGCUUCCCGAUGUGAUCGUUUGCACAUUUCAGAUUAGUGCUAGAAUGCUGCUAUAUAAUGUAUGUUUUUGUUGGUUGCAAUAUGAAGCCAUCGCACUUCUGGAAACUAGUUUGGUGCGAGCAAUUUAUGCUCUCCCUUUAGUGAGAUAUGUUCUUUUUUGGCUUGGAAGGAACAAGCUCGAGAUGAUGCUAAUCAAUAGCCUCUUCAGGACCAUAACUUGCCAUAGUUGUUCAUCUAUGUGGAUUAGAGGGGUUGCAAACUUCUUUAAAGAUUAUGAACUAAUUGCCUAACUUUUGUGAAGCGUGAUUAAAUGGGUGGAGUAACUUAUGUGAUAUGAUUAACGACGGUGUUAUAGUCACAUAAAACUGUGGCUCUUUCGUUGUUAGUAAUGUUAGUGUCAAUUGGAUCAAUUACUAUUUUGGGUAUCAAAUAUCAGCUUUUCGUUUCAUUAUUCACAUAAAAUGUUUAUGUCCCGGGUACUGUAGUAACAAUGAAGAAGAUGCUGGGGAUACAGUUGUCUGGUGUUGAUGUUGUUCUUGCAAACUACCCUCCACCACCGCCAAAGCCCAUUUUGGCUAAGUUGGUGCCAGUCACUCAGAUAGGAGUAUCUGCUAUCGUCAUGGCCAGAGAGCAUUUUUUCCAAUGCUUGGGAUUGCAGUGCAUCCCAUUUUCUUUGUGCAAACAGGUUGGGAUUGUUGCUUCAACUUGGCUUUUCGCAAUGUGUUCCGGCCCUUCCUGCAAAGCUUUGGUGCUUUUGAUGUUUACUACAAUGAUGAGCUGGUUUGUUUUUCUAUUUACAAAUACUUUAUGUUCAAAAAUUUUGUUGCAGGACCUAGAUGUCGUGGAUCUUUACUUUUGAGUUUUGACGUUGAAUUUACCUAAGCAAUCCAAUACAUCGUUGCCUUUUUGUCUUAUAACUUUUGGGACUCUGUUGCCCUGCUAGUUCUGUGGCCUCUUCUUGGAGAUUGGUUUUGCCAAAAAUUGAAGGAGGGAAGGUUUCCCAGGACAUUGAAUUGAAAGAUUUGAUUGAUAGAAGAUUGGCAAAUUCAUGGGUUAUGAUGUGGGAAUUGAUGGGGCUGUGAAUGCUUCCUGUCGUAAUGUUUCGAGGAUCUGAUCAAUUGUCGUAGGUGUCUUUUGGAGUUUCAUAUUGGUUGCUGUAGGAUGAUCUGUGAUUAAUGGAUGUCAUUUGUGGGAGGUUUAAUUGCUGUGUAAACUCAUAUGUUGUCAUCUCUUCUUGUAAUGCAAAUAUCUAAGUUUAAUGAUGAGUUGGUGAUUA